GACGUAGGGCGCGAGCGUUGUCCGGAUUUAUUGGGCGUAAAGAGCUCGUAGGCGGCUUGUCGCGUCGACUGUGAAAUCCCGCGGCUCAACUGCGGGUCUGCAGUCGAUACGGGCAGGCUAGAGUUCGGUAGGGGAGACUGGAAUUCCUGGUGUAGCGGUGAAAUGCGCAGAUAUCAGGAGGAACAUCGGUGGCGAAGGCGGGUCUCUGGGCCGAUACUGACGCUGAGGAGCGAAAGCGUGGGGAGCGAACAGG
rnacentral:rRNA from 1 species